AAAACAAGGCAGCGCACCAAGACACUUUAAACUCAAUAAUUUGUGUUUAAAUACCAGCCUUCCUUCCAGCAACGACAUUUAUUUGAAUCUCGAAGGCCGUGCUUUUCCAAAAUGCACGCCCUAAAAGGAAAUGUAGAUCUCGGAGGCUAAAUUCACUUUUUAACCGCAGUGCGGCGCUGCCGCAGUGUGACGCUUGACGGUGAGCUAGGCCACGUUGUGUUGCUGUGAGCGGUGAGAGUGCUCGUUGCAGUUACACGGUAAUUUAAUCAUAUUUUCGAAGUGCCUAAACAAACUAUGAUCCGUACCGUAUGCAUUAACCGUCAGGAAACCUCUGGACUCGUGUAACGCCAUUAGUUCGCCUGAUGUUUCCUGUGAUACGCCAGUGUCUUGUGUACUACAGCGCCCGCCCGAGCUGCCUUUGUUCUCGCCUGUCCGCGUUCGCUCGUGGAAUACCUGAUACUGUGGCUUCGAAUUAUGGUGCGUGGAAGAAUUUGUUGAAAGUUUUGCUUUCGUGCGCUGGUGUUCAUCGGCAAUUCGACAGUGUUCGCGCCGGAAAGAGCGUCGUCGCGUGGUGCCUGCGAGACGAAGAAGCCGUUUGCUGACCACAUUGAAGGUGCCUUGUGAGCUCUCACCCAAGCACCACAUUCCAGAGGUCUGUUGUGAGCAGACCUGGCAAAUUGAAGUAACAUCCAGAUAGUCCAAUAAACUGUUCGUAGUUUCAGACAAA
rnacentral:lncRNA from 1 species